rnacentral:misc_RNA from 1 species
AAAAUUUUUAAGUGUUUCAAAUAUUAAAAUAUAUGAAAAUAUUUUCUAUAAAAAAUGGAGCCUAAUAGUGAUAAUUUUUGUAACGAUUUUAUCUAAAUACUUGUCUUCGAUCUUCCUGCUUUAUUCUUUCUGGUAGUUUCAAUUUCCUCUCUUUAAUCAUUCCUUGCUUUUGCUAGUCUUGGUCUGAGGCCAUUACUACGGGGUUGACAAUGUAAGCUUUUGGAAGAAAUCAAAUAGCCGAAAUCCAACAUCAAUUAGAUCAAUCCAAGUUGUAAUAAAUUAAGAGUUACGUGGUCAAUCCUUGUGCUCUUCUCUAUCAGCUGAAUUAAAUGAAAUUGAGUCUGGACUUUGAAGCUGACUACUGCUCCUCCAAACAUAAAGAAUUUUUUAGAUUUUUUUUGGUAUUCUACUGAGAAUUGUUAAAGACAAA